UCCGUGUUAACCACGGCAGUCUCGCCAGACACAUGUAACUGGCGACAGGGGUUGCGCUCGUUAUCGGACUUAACCGUACAUUUCACAACACGAGCUGACGACAACCGUGCAGCACCUGUCUCUGAUGUCCGAAGAGGGGCUCUAUUUCUAGUGCCUUUCAUCAGGAUGUCAAAUCUUGGUGAGGUGCCCGGCUUACCAUCCAAUUAAACCACAUGCUCCACCGCUUGUGCGGGUCCCCGUCAAUUCCUUUGAGUUUUAGUCUUGCGACCGUACUCCCCAGGCGGGAUGCUUAACGUGUUAACUUCGACACUAGGGGGGUCGAUGCCACUAAUGUCUAGCAUCCAUCGUUUACGGCGUGGACUAC
rnacentral:misc_RNA from 1 species